rnacentral:rRNA from 1 species
UACGUAGGGUCCGAGCGUUGUCCGGAAUUACUGGGCGUAAAGAGCUCGUAGGUGGUUCGGUAAGUCGGAUGUGAAAUCUCCAGGCUCAACCUGGAGGGGUCAUUCGAUACUGCCGUGACUAGAGGUCGGUAGGGGAGUGUGGAAUUCCUGGUGGAGCGGUGAAAUGCGCAGAUAUCAGGAGGAACACCCGUAGCGAAGGCGGCACUCUGGGCCGAUACUGACACUGAGGAGCGAAAGCGUGGGGAGCGAACAGG